rnacentral:rRNA from 1 species
AGUAGCGGCGAGCGAACGGGGAGGAGCNNNNNNNNNNNNNCGCGGUGCCGUGGGCCGGACCGCUGCAAUGUGGUGUACGGGGGUCGGUACCCUCCGAGGGUGGGUCGCGGCGAAAGUUCCCUUGAGCGGGGCCUUUUUCGAACCGGAGAUGGCGCUAGUCCAGUUCCGCCGUGACUCCGUGCGCGGAGAGCCGGUCCCCCUGGGAGUCGGGUUGCUUGGUAGUGCAGCCCAAAGCGGGUGGUAGACUCCACCCAAGGCUAAAUAUACCCGAGAGACCGAUAGUAAACAAGUACCGCGAGGGAAAGUUGAAAAGCACUCUGAAAAGAGAGUUCAAUAGUACGUGAAACCGUUCAGAGGUAAACGGGUGGGCGCUUCGAAGUCCCAGGCCGGCGGCGCACUCAGGUCGGGCUUGCGGGGACCGUGAGAGGGCGACGGUGGCUCUCACGAGUGAGAGUAUCACCCGUCGAUUCUCCUCGUCGUUGGUUGUCGUGCCCGUGCCGCAUUUGCGUCCCCGCGCCACCGGGGCGUCGCAACCGCUCGCGAUAUGGGCCGUGGUGGGGACGGACGCGAAAGGUGGGCGCUCUCUCGGUCGAGGCCGGGAGGGGCUGCCGUUUAUAGUCGCGUCGUCAUUGGUCCCCUUCGGGCCCCGCGAGCGGGUAUUCGUUGCGGAGGUGCUUCGGCCUCCCUUCCUUUAAUUUAUUAGAGGAGCGUUGCCCAAUCGAGCGGAGCGAGAUUUCAAAAGACGCGUCGAGGCAGACCGACCCCGGAUCGGGCGGUCGCUUCUCGUCGGUCUGCGCAUUCUCGCUCGGGGCGGACGCGAGGGGUAGGUCGGGACUCCGGCGAGCUUGGCGGCGAGUAGGUCGGCUCCCACCCGACCCGUCUUGAAACACGGACCAAGGAGUUUGGGGCGCGUGCGAGUCCGAGGGACUUGAAUAGGCCCGAGGGGCGCAGCGAAAGCGAGCGUCGAGAUCCGCGCACUGCGGUGUGGCGGCGCAUCGACGGCCCGUUCGACCGCGGUCGGACGGAGCGGGAGCACGCGUCCCGAGACCCGAAAGAUGGUGAACUAUGCCUGGGCGGGACGAAGCCAGGGGAAACUCUGGUNNNNGUCCGAAGCGGUUCUGACGUGCAAAUCGAUCGUCGGACCCGGGUAUA